rnacentral:rRNA from 1 species
UACGUAGGUGGCAAGCGUUGUCCGGAUUUACUGGGCGUAAAGAGCGCGCAGGCGGUCGUUCAAGUCGCGUGUGAAAGCCCCCGGCUCAACUGGGGAGGGUCACGCGAUACUGAUCGACUCGAAGGCGGGAGAGGGUAGUGGAAUUCCCGGUGUAGUGGUGAAAUGCGUAGAUAUCGGGAGGAACACCAGUGGCGAAGGCGACUACCUGGCCUGUUUCUUGACGCUGAGGCGCGAAAGCUAGGGGAGCAAACGGG